rnacentral:rRNA from 1 species
AAUACUCUUGGAUAGUGGACGUUACUCGCAGAAUAAGCACCGGCUAACUCUGUGCCAGCAGCCGCGGUAAUACAGAGGGUGCAAGCGUUAAUCGGAUUUACUGGGCGUAAAGCGCGCGUAGGUGGCCAAUUAAGUCAAAUGUGAAAUCCCCGAGCUUAACUUGGGAAUUGCAUUCGAUACUGGUUGGCUAGAGUAUGGGAGAGGAUGGUAGAAUUCCAGGUGUAGCGGUGAAAUGCGUAGAGAUCUGGAGGAAUACCGAUGGCGAAGGCAGCCAUCUGGCCUAAUACUGACACUGAGGUGCGAAAGCAUGGGGAGCAAACAGGAUUAGAUACCCUGGUAGUCCAUGCCGUAAACGAUGUCUACUAGCCGUUGGGGCCUUUGAGGCUUUAGUGGCGCAGCUAACGCGAUAAGUAGACCGCCUGGGGAGUACGGUCGCAAGACUAAAACUCAAAUGAAUUGACGGGGGCCCGCACAAGCGGUGGAGCAUGUGGUUUAAUUCGAUGCAACGCGAAGAACCUUACCUGGUCUUGACAUAGUAAGAACUUUCCAGAGAUGGAUUGGUGCCUUCGGGAACUUACAUACAGGUGCUGCAUGGCUGUCGUCAGCUCGUGUCGUGAGAUGUUGGGUUAAGUCCCGCAACGAGCGCAACCCUUUUCCUUAUUUGCCAGCGGGUUAAGCCGGGAACUUUAAGGAUACUGCCAGUGACAAACUGGAGGAAGGCGGGGACGACGUCAAGUCAUCAUGGCCCUUACGACCAGGGCUACACACGUGCUACAAUGGUCGGUACAAAGGGUUGCUACCUC